rnacentral:rRNA from 1 species
UGCGUAGGGUGCGAGCGUUAAUCGGAAUUACUGGGCGUAAAGCGUGCGCAGGCGGUUUGCUAAGACCGAUGUGAAAUCCCCGGGCUCAACCUGGGAACUGCAUUGGUGACUGGCAGGCUAGAGUAUGGCAGAGGGGGGUAGAAUUCCACGUGUAGCAGUGAAAUGCGUAGAGAUGUGGAGGAAUACCGAUGGCGAAGGCAGCCCCCUGGGCCAAUACUGACGCUCAUGCACGAAAGCGUGGGGAGCAAACAGG